CCCAGUUCGGAUUGUAGUCUGNAACCCGACUACAUGAAGCUGGAAUCGCUAGUAAUCGCGGAUCAGAAUGCCGCGGUGAAUACGUUCCCGGGUCUUGUACACACCGCCCGUCACACCAUGGGAGUCGGAAAUGCCCGAAGUCUGUGACCCAACCUACGGGAGGGAGCAGCCGAAGGCAGGUCGGAUGACUGGGGUGAAGUCGUAACAAGGUAAC
rnacentral:rRNA from 1 species